rnacentral:rRNA from 1 species
CGAAGGGGGCUAGCGUUGCUCGGAAUCACUGGGCGUAAAGCGCACGUAGGCGGCUUUCUAAGUCAGGGGUGAAAUCCUGGAGCUCAACUCCAGAACUGCCCUUGAUACAGCACGUCUUGAGUCCGGAAGAGGUGGUGGAAUUCCUAGUGUAGAGGUGAAAUUCGUAGAUAUUAGGAAGAACACCGGUGGCGAAGGCGGCCCACUGGUCCGGUACUGACGCUGAGGUGCGAAAGCGUGGGAGCAA